ensembl:ncRNA T11F9.24 ncRNA
ACACAUGUACUUUAUCAUCAAAAAAUUGAAAAUUCGUGACGCGCCGGCUCCUUAUUCUUAUCAAAUGCGGCGUGGUUUCGAUUUCAGUGUUUUAGCACCUUCUUAUUGCAUUUCACACAUGAAUUUAUUGCAUUCUUGAA